rnacentral:rRNA from 1 species
UACGGGGGGGGCAAGCGUUGUUCGGAAUCACUGGGCGUAAAGCGCACGUAGGCGGGUCUUUAAGUCAGGGGUGAAAUCCUGGAGCUCAACACCAGAACUGCCUUUGAUACUGAGGAUCUCGAGUCCGGGAGAGGUGAGUGGAACUCCGAGUGUAGAGGUGAAAUUCGUAGAUAUUCGGAAGAACACCAGUGGCGAAGGCGGCUCACUGGCCCGGUACUGACGCUGAGGUGCGAAAGCGUGGGGAGCAAACAGG